rnacentral:lncRNA from 1 species
UUAGUUGACCCAUAGCACCACCUGCCGCCUCUUGUUGUCAGCGAACUCCACAGCAUCAACGACACAGCGUGGUUUUCUCCUGCCCGAGUAUUGACCAAAGCUGCAUGCUACACGUCCGCAGCAAGCCCACGAUUGAAGACGCCAGUGUCUGCAUCUUCAACUUCUUCGUUCUUCCACCCGCACGUGCCUUCCACCGAGCGACCCCAGCCUUCAACGUCGUGGAGUCCAGCUGCCGUAGGUUUCAGCAAUAUUAAUCUUGCAGUCCAGAGGCCCAUCAGCAGCUUUUGUUGCUUCUUGGUUGGCCCGUCAGCCCAAGAAAACUCAGCUCAUCAUCAAGUAGAAUUGAAGCCCAGCAAAUUUUGACCCAAGCUUGCAGUCUUUGAGCCCAUCAGUCCAGCAGUUCUUCAGCCAAUUUAAUUCAAAUUGCAGCCCAGUAAUUUGAGGCCCAAUUCAGCAGAAUUUUAUUGAGGCCCAUCUCCUGCAGUCUUCAAGCCCAUUUCAGCAGGCCCAAUUCAAUUUGGGUCUGGCCCAAAAGCAAGAAACAAAUCUCAGUUGGGCUGAGAUUUGUUGGGGCCAAGUCCAAGGCCCGGUCCAAGUACGCCGGUGUCGUCGAAAGUCCGAUUUCGGCCGCCGUCGCGUCGCCGUUGCGGUGAUUCGGUCUCCGCUUUUAUCAAGUGAGUUUUACUCACUAAUGCUUUAUUAGUUUGCUAAUUAUGUCCUAGGGUUGGUUAGAUUUAAUUACAUGCACUUAGGUGGUUAGAUUAGGUUAGAACAAUUAAAUUAGUGACUUGAGGAUGCAUGUUAGGUGGUUAGACCUAGUUAUUAGCAAGUAGAAAUGUUUGGUUAUUUAUUGAAUGCAUCUCGGGAUUUUUCCCGACCCGUUUCGGGCUCCAAUAAGGCAAUAUAGGCCUAAAUUGGAUUUAUAAUGUUUAUUUAUUUAUUUUUCGAAAUUAAUUAUUUAAUUAAUUAUUUUUCCGGAAAUUCAACCGGGAUGGCCGGUGACCAGAAUUUCGUGCCGAUUGUCGUGGUGCAGUCCGUUUAUUUAAUUGAGCUCUACGUUGUGUGUAAUUGAAUUUAUUGUGGAAUUUUUGGAAUUGUCCUAAAUUGUUUGUGAUUGAAUACUUGAUUGGUAAUGGCCAAGCAUGGGUAUAUAGCGCCAGUACGUUGAUGGGCUAUAUAGUAGGGAGAAUGGUGAGACCAAUCAGGUACGAUAUUAUUGGACAUACGUAGUUCGGUGAUUGGAAGUAUCACUGGCGAAAACGGCGCCUUAAAGAACGCACGUAAAUGACUUAUAGACACACGUGGUUCGGUGGUUAUGGGAAUAUCACUGGUGAAAACGGCGCCUUAAAGAACGCACGAUGUUGUCUAUAGCCGAUGUCACCUUGGCGAAAACGGCGCCCUUGAAAGGACACGUGGUUCGGUGAUCAAGGUUAUCACUGGUGAAAACGGCGCCUUAAAGAACGCACGGUGUCGGUGAUCGGUAUGUCAUUGGCGAAAACGACGCUCGAGAAACACAUGUGAUUUGGUGAAUGAGUACACCACUGGGAAUUCGUGGUAUGAGUGGGAAUGACCUAGAAAGGGUCUGGCUGACAUGUAAUCGACCUAGUCGAUUGAUCAAUGCUUGAUCGGAUGUCGUGAAUUGUUUGAAUAUCUAUGUUUAACCUUGAAUUGCAGGUUGGAACUGAGGCUAAGGUAAGUUCUCUGACUCGUGUUGUGCUUAGGCAACCGGAUGGCGUAUUAGUUUAUUAAUCGAGUCUUAGUGGGUAGGACUCGCUGAGACGUGGUCUCAUUGGUUAUUGAAUAACCAUUUCAGGACCCUGAGGAGAAGCUAAGGAAGGGGAACCUGAAGGGGA